AACGAACGCUGGCGGCAGGCUUAACACAUGCAAGUCGAACGCCCCGCAAGGGGAGUGGCAGACGGGUGAGUAACACGUGGGAACGUGCCCUAAGGUUUGGAAUAUUCCCGGGAAACUGGGAGCAAUACCAAAUGUGUCCGCAAGGAGAAAGAUUUAUCGCCUUAGGAUCGGCCCGCGUCAGAUUAGGUAGUUGGUGGGGUAAUGGCCUACCAAGCCGACGAUCUGUAGCUGGUCUGAGAGGACGACCAGCCACACUGGGACUGAGACACGGCCCAGACUCCUACGGGAGGCAGCAGUGGGGAAUCUUGGACAAUGGGCGCAAGCCUGAUCCAGCCAUGCCGCGUGGAUGAUGAAGGCCCUAGGGUUGUAAAAUCCUUUCGUUGGGGACGAUAAUGACGGUACCCAAAGAAGAAGCCCCGGCUAACUUCGUGCCAGCAGCCGCUGUAACAC
rnacentral:rRNA from 1 species